UAACUUACUGUUCUGGGUCGUGCUAUGAUUGAGCAUAACCUACUGAGUGCUAGCAAACUUUAUACAAAUAUAAGCUUUGAUGAGUUGGGCACACUGUUGGGAAUUCCUCCUCAAAAGCAUGUCAGUGGAGCACAAGAAUCAUCUUGGUUGCCA